ACACGUAGGAGGCAAGCGUUAUCCGGAUUCACUGGGCGUAAAGCGCGUGCAGGCGGUUCGGUAAGUUGGGCGUGAAAGCUCCCGGCUCAACUGGGAGAGGUCGUCCAAUACUACCGGGCUAGAGAGCAGAAGAGGAAGAUGGAAUUCCCGGUGUAGUGGUGAAAUGCGUAGAUAUCGGGAGGAACACCAGUGGCGAAGGCGGUCUUCUGGUCUGUUUCUGACGCUCAGACGCGAAAGCUAGGGGAGUAAACGGGAUUAGAGACCCCGGUAAUCCUAGCCGUAAACGAUGUGAACUUGGCGUUGGUGGCUUAAACUCCAUCAGUGCCGCAGCAAACGCGAUAAGUUCACCGCCUGGGGACUACGGCCGCAAGGUUAAA
rnacentral:rRNA from 1 species